AAAUAAAUAAAUAAAAUAAAAACCAACCUUCAGAACAAAACAAUAGAAUACAACUAACAGUGAACAACAGCAUACAAGCGUUACAGUUUGAAAUUAGGGGAAACAAAAAGAAAGCACAAUUGAAUUCAAAUCAGUAUAGAAUAAAAUGCUCAGAAAAGGAAAAAUCAAAUAAUGGGUAAAAAUUUAUUAGGGUCAAGGGUGCUCACAUCCUGAGGAGAAAUCUUGAG
rnacentral:misc_RNA from 1 species